GAUGAACGCUGGCGGCGUGCCUAAUACAUGCAAGUCGAGCGAACAGACGAGGAGCUUGCUCCUCUGACGUUAGCGGCGGACGGGUGAGUAACACGUGGAUAACCUACCUAUAAGUCUGGUAUAACUUCGGGAAACCGGAGCUAAUACCGGAUAAUAUAUUGAACCGCAUGGUUCAAUAGUGAAAGACGGUUUUGCUGUCUCUUAUAGAUGGUUCCGCGCCGCAUUAGCUAGUUGGUAAGGUAACGGCUUACCAAGGCAACGAUGCGUAGCCGACCUGAGAGGGUGAUCGGCCACACUGGAACUGAGACACGGUCCAGAGUCCUACGGGAGGCAGCAGUAGGGAAUGUGCCGCAAUGGGCGAAAGCCUGACGGAGCAACGGGGAGUGAGAGAUGAAGGUCUUCGGAGCGGAAAACUCUGUUAUUAGGGAAGAACAAAUGUGGAAGUAACUAUGCACGGCUUGACGGUAACUAAUAAGAAAGCCACGGCUAACUACGUG
rnacentral:rRNA from 1 species